CAACACCAAGAGGCUUCCCGGACCCAGCACAAGGGCUGCCUGCUGAGCACCACGGGACGAGCACAGCUGCCACCACGAGCAAAGGAUUCACCCCGGGGGCAUCGGGAAUGGCCUCUCCACUGCCCAGGAGCCGCCGCCGUGCAGAGCUGCACGCAGCCGGAGUGUGCGGGGAGCCCAUGUAGGACGGAGCCGUCUGCGGGUGCCAGCACAGCACAAGGGACGCUCUUGCACGGAGCUGGUGCGUGUCGUCGAAGGAGCUGUGCCUCUUCCAGCGCCGCCGGAGCUACAAAGCAAAUGCAUGGAGCAUUUUGGCGGAGGAGGAGCCCUACCCCGGCCCCAGCCCUCCCAGCUGUGUCAAUAGAGGAAGAAGAAACAAAAGUGCUCUUUCUUCGCCCGUUGUUUUUGCAGAGGGGGACACGCUGGUGGCCGUCGUUGCGCGGUGACACUCGCUGCACGGGGCGGGCGAGUUGGAGGCUGUGCUCGGCCUUUGGGAAGCAGCCACCAGCAGGGUGCUAGGAGGGAGCUCCCAGAAAUCUGCCGGGAUGGAUAUAUUGAUGUUUCCUUUCGCCCACGGCUCUGUGUGACAGGGAGCAGGUCACCGAAGGACGGGCUCUCUCCAUUUCUCCAUGGCUCAGGCCUUUGCGCCCAGCAGCAUGCUGGGAUUUGCUGGGCCAUCUCAUGCCCGGCUGCAGCAGCUCCCUCAGUGCAUUGCAGGACCCAGCCAGCCCUGCACGUCUGCACGCCCAAUGAUGUUUGAAUGGACUUCAAGUUUGCACACAAACCCCUCCAGAAAAGACUCAAAUGGGAGAUGAUGCCUGACCAACCCAGCGGCCUUCUGUGAUGGUGUAACUGCAUUAGCAGACAAGAGGAGAGCUGCUAGUGUCACCUACCUGGAUGUCAGGGAGGCCUUUGCCACCCAUAACAACUUUCUCUCCAAACAGGAAGGAUGUGGAUUUGAUGGGUGGAACUGUUUGGUGAAUGAGUUGCAAGGUGGUACCCAGAGAGUGGUGCUCAGUGGCUCAGUGUCCGGAUGGAGAUUGGUGGCAGCAGUGUCCCUCAGGGGCAGUACUGGGACCAGUGCUCUUUAAUGCCUUGCACCCUCAGCAAGUUUGAGAGAGGCCUUCAUGUCCCUAAAGCGGGGCUGUAAAAGGGAAGGGGAAGGACUCUUCAGCAAGGCCUGUUGGGACAGGACAAGGGGAAACGGUGUCACACUAAAAGAGGGGACAUCCGGAUGGAGUAUAAGGAAUGGUGCUUUAAGGAUGGCGCUUGCAGCCCCGAAGCCAAGCUGGCCAUGCAUGCCAUCACUUUGCACGGAGCCCAACCUGACGUGGAGAGGAUGAGUCACGCAGCGAGGAGAUAAAGCGGAGCAGCUCUGAUCCACGCCUCU
rnacentral:lncRNA from 1 species